UCCCACCAACUGGGCUACUUUAAGUUUUUAAUGUUAAUGAAUAUUUCUGCUCUAAAUAUCUUUGGGCACACUAAUUUUUCCCCCCGGGGUCAUUGUUGUGGGAUAUUUUCUAAAAAGUGUAGUACUGACAAAGAAUAGGAACACUUUCAGAGCUGACAUUAGGGAGUGCCAGAGCAGCACACAGAAAUUUCAGGUUCACCUGAGAUGCAGCUCCUGAUACGCUGAGCUGUGGGGUUGUUAUGAAAGCAAAUGAAGGUUUACAUAACCUUAUUCCCUCAGCUUCUGUUUCUGAUAAAACUGCAUUAUAAAGUAUGGUACAAGUAUCUUUCAAAGUAUUUACCUCAGGACCACGAACAGCCAGAAAGGUUAGCCGGUGGAAGCAAGCCUCUCAGAAAAUGUUUCUGUACCUGAACAGAGACUGACUAAAUCUUCCUUAACUGAAAUAAAUCUCCAGAUGACCUAGGGAGCUGGCAAACUGGGGCCCAGGGCCACUUGUUUUUGUAAGUUUUAUUGGAAUGUACACAAACAAACAAAAAAAAAACCAUUGCUGUAGAGUCGACUCCGACUCAAAACAACGAUAUAGCUACCCUAUAAGACAGAGUAGAAUUGCCCCAUAAGGUUUCCAAAAAGCGCCUUGUGGAUUCAAACUGCUGACCUUUCGGUUAGCAGCCAUAGCUCUUAACCACCACACCUCCAGAGUUUCAAUUUAUGUAUUGUCUACGGUUGCUUCCUGCUGUAACUGCAGAGUUGAAUAGUUGCAACAGAGACCACAUGACUUGCAAAAAAAAACAGAACAAAGCAAAACAAGUUGUGUUUAAGUUGAUUCCAGCUUGCGGCAACCCUAUGUGUUGCAGAGUAGAACUGCACUCCAUAGGGUUUUCAAAGCUAUGAUCUUCCAGAAGGAGACUGCUAGGCUUUUUUUCCUAGCCAACUAUGGGCUCUGAAGAGGCAGUGGUUCAGGACGUAGACCGAGCCUCCCAAGAUCUUCCAACUAGAACGUGCUGUCUCUUUGUAAACGAUUCUGAGGGAGAAUGGUUGAGUUUCCUCCAGGAAGAAAGAUGCCCUGGAAUCCUGGAGGAACUACACCCAUAUGUUCAUGAAGAAGUGGACUCCAGCAGUGUUGUGAGUGGACUGUGGUGGACAUGGAACUCUGUCAGCUGGAUUCUCCUACAUUGUCCAGCUGCUGGUGUGCUGUGAGCAGAUGGCUUUCAGCUUUCAGACCCUUUAGGGACUGUCUCAGCAGCACGGUCACCUCAUCCAAGGUCAUGCCUUUGUGGAGUCGGCCUACAUCAACUGACUGGUUAAAAUAAACCAAACCUAUUGCUGUCUGAUCGGUACCAACUCAUAGCGACCCUAUAGGGUAGAGUAGAACUGUCCCAUAGGGUUUCCAAGGAGUGGCUGGUGGAUUCAAACUGCCAGCCUUUUGGUUAGCAGCCUCAUGCUUAACUGUUGUGUCACCAGGGCUCCGCCACUGCGGGUAGAAGUGGAGAUAUAAAGACCCAGCCAUGUUAACUCAAAGCAGGACUGGAUUGAUGAGCCAUUUCAGCUCCAGUAAUGAUCAUCUAAAUUAUGGUUAAAUAGACAAUCUAGAUGACUUGAAUGCAAAUUUAUUUAAAUAUUCCACUAUAAUUUGACAUUAGGAUGUUAUUACUUUUUCACCACUAUAAAUAAUUCUGUGUUGACAUCUUAUGCAUGCAGUUUUUCUCUUUAUAAAGAAUAUUUACAUAGGGUAAAGUCCCAUGAGCAGUAUUGCUAAGUCAAAGCGCAUGUGUGUUUUUAUACUUCUCUGACCUCUAUUGCCUAAACGCGUUUCAAAAGAGUCAUACAGAUUUGCUGUGGCACACACGAAAAUACAUGCUUCAGUGCAGCUGACACUUGGUAAACAUUUCCAGCUCAGUCAUUUGUGGACUCUUACAAGUUUGGCCCAGUUUUUCUUGGCGCGAAGAGAAUUUGUUCAGCCAAUUUUGAAACUUUGUGUUGAUGAAAUCUGAAAAAAAUUGUCCAAGUUUGAACGACAGAGAUGAGAUAUACGGUAAUUUUAUCGGCUUUCUCUAAUGGAAGCUACUGGUAACUUGAUAAAGCAAUUCCCCACUAACUAACAUUAUAAUUUACAAAUCUCCUUUGCAGACUUUUUGGACCUUUUUCUCUCUUUGGAAGAUUUGCUUUAUAUGACUAGACACUGAAAUACGUGUAAGGCUUUGAGAAACAGAAAAGCUGCCCUUGACAUAGGAGCUUGUCUCAGCAUUCACAGCCAGGUGUGGGUGUCCUCCUGCUGAAUACAAACAAUCUCCCCAAACACUGACAUCAGACAAGUCACUCUGUGACCAUGAUAGAUCCAGACAAAAACAAAACCACCAAGUCAGAACACAGACAAAAUUAUGAACAGUGUUUAAACCACAAAAAUGAUCAAAUAUCCACCUAUCCUGGCUAUUACAAGUGACAGCUGCUUCUUUAUUAAUUAAACCUUUAGCCUCACUCUAGCCUUCCCUCCUAGAUAAGAUUGAUUAUGAUACCCAGUCAUGGAAUUACCUUGCUCACCGACAGCGCCCAACCCAGAGCAAAGCUUCGCUUCCUUGAAUUCCCUCCAAAAUCAACAAACACAAGCCCAAAUUCUAUUAAUAUGGUCUUUCCAAUGUCCUCUCAGCAAGACUCCUCCUCAUGGUGUUCGGUGUCUCUUGCUGCCAUGAGCAAUAGCUGCUUGUUCAGUUAUGAACAGCAUGUGUUCCUGGUGGGGGACAAUAUCUUUAACUUGUCUAUUAGUAAUUCCAAAUCAAAUGACAUAUUGCAUUGGGCAAAUCUGCUGCAAAAGAUCUCUUUCCAGGGUUGAAAAGCAAAGAUGUCACUUUGAGACCUAAGGUGUGCUGACGCAGGCCAUGGUGUUUUCAAUUGCCUCAUAGGCAUGCGAAAGCUGCACAAUGAAUAAGGGAGAUCAAAGAAGAAUUGAUGUUUUGAGUUAUGGGGUUGGAGAUUUAUAGGGUAACUAUGAGUCAGAAUCAACUCAAUGGCAAAGGGUUUGUUUGUUUGGUUUUGGUUUUCAUAGUAUACAUAUAUAAACCUAUUGUCGUCAAGUCAAUUCGACACAUAGCAACCCUAUAGGACAGAGUAGAACUGCCCCAUGGGGUUUCUGAGGAGUGGCUGGUGGAUUCGAACUGCCAGCCUUUGGUUAGCAACAAAGCUCUUAACCACUGCACCACCAGGGCUCCAUAUAUAUGGCAGGGGAUCAGAUUCAACAUGCAGAAGUCAAAUUCUGCAACCUCCUAUAAGCAAGACCACGGGAGACUGAGUCAUGCUGCUGUAGGGUAGCAUUCUUUGAACUUCUGAGUAACUUCAGGGUGGAAAUGGCUUUGAAAAAGAGAAGAAACAAUCAAUCUGGUCACAUUUUAUUUCUCAACAUAAUUUCCUGUUCUUAGUUUAAACGAUGCGUAUGACAUUAUUUCCACCAAAUUCUCAGAACAGGAAGCUUAGGUUCCUUGAGUUUUACAUAAAUUAUAUUUCAUAUGGUUGUACAAGUUGAUGAACAGCAAUAUGAUUAACUCAGUGUGAAUGCCUUUCUUCAUAUUAACCUGUCAUGAGGAAUUUUAAGUUACGACAUCUAGCUGAGCUGCAGAACAAUUAUCUGACUACUGCUUUGAUCUGGAGACAAUUCUGUGUAUUUUAUCUUCAGGAAGAUGUUCACAGUGAAGUCCUUCUCAAAAUUACAGCUGUUAGAAUGUAAAUUCUUCUCUCUGAAAUUAUUACAAGUACAACAAAUUAUACAGUGUUGGUAUCCAUCUAUCAGUGAAGAACUUUCGGUCACAGGGUAACAGAAGACCCAACUCAAUGUGGCUUAAACAAUAAUGUGGAAUAAGGGGCUCAUAUAUCUGAAAACCAAAGGAAGAUGUGUUUUGGUCAAGGUCUUGGUUCUAUCUCUUCAUUCUGACUUUAUUCUUAGCCAGGCUAGGACCGUAUGGUCUCAAAGAUAGCUGUCCGCAGCAACUGGAGUUACAUGCUUCUUUGUCCAUUUCCAGGGGAGAAGUGUCAUUUCUCAUAAUUAUCAAAUGACAUUUUCUCAGCUUCUCUCUGAUGAAACCAAGGUGAACUGGUCAUUGUUGAAAGGGGUGUGAGAGUAUACUGACUAACCAUCUGGAGUUGAGGUGGGUCAGCCUACACAAACAUCAUGGCUAUUACAUCGUUACUACAUGUUGGCUAAGGAGGAGGGACAAGGUAUUUCCUUGAAGGAAAAUCAAAGUUCUGUUAGGGAAACAGAAGAAACAGACACUGUGCCCACCAUCCUGUCCAUGACAUUCCACUUUAACUUCAUCCCUACAGGAAGUGAUACUCUAUCUUACUUAUAGGUGGCAGUAUUGAGUUUAAAAUACAGGGCCUAGAGUUAGGGUACUGCCGUUCAAAUCUUUGUUCCACCAGUUACUAGCCACUUGGUUUUACGUAAGUCAGUUAACCUCUCUCUGCUGCAACAUCUUCAUUGUAAAAUGACAUUAGUAGAAUCUCCCUUGAAAAGCUGCAAUGAAGAUUCAGUGGACUAAUGCAUAUGAAGCACUCAGCAUAGACCAUGUCACUUUGCCAAUGAAGUAGCCAUUUGACGAAGUCUAUAAAGUUUUUUUUUUUUUUAUAAAGCAUCACUUUUAUCUGCUUGGCAUCUGCCUGUUGUCCAGUGUGUUCUGGAGACUCCUUUUCCCAUUCUCAGGUCAUAUAUGUCAGUUACUGGAAUUUGUUUCAGGUAGACCCAGUGCUUUGACUCAGAGACUGGAGGAUGGCCUGUACCAUAGAAGAGGCAUGUUGUGAUAUACUGUGGCAUAAAUGUCCAAAAAAGAAGUCCCAGUGUUCCUGAUGGGGUGUUUCCUCCACAGUGUGAAUUAUCGUUCUUAAAUGUUUGAGAACAGGGUACACCAACAUCUGACUGCGUGUCUAUAUGCUCCUGUUGGUAAAAUCACCACACAAGGCCUGCUAAACCCGUACAGAAGAGUAGCAUUUUGAUUAUUCCCUGUUUACUUCCUUUAGCUCUGGUAUUUGAAAAGCUGAAUAUACUGUGCUCACACAGCAAUAAUCGGGUGGUUUUCUUUUGACUGGUAACCCUUUUAUUUCAUUUUAACAAACCUCACUCCGCAAAAGGCUUGGAAGUAAGGUGUGGAAAGGGGAAGUGGGGAGAAAGGAGGUGAAGUAACCCUAGUUGCUUGUAUUAGAAUUCACCCUGUGGAGGCUAAGGAGUCCCUGGGUGGUGCAAACUGUUAUUGCGCUAGGAUGCGAACGGAAAGGUCGGAGGUUUGAGCCCGCUCAGAGGCGUGGUGCUCUACUUCCAAAAAAUCAGCCGUUGAAAACCCUAUGGAUUGAAGCUCUAUUCUGACACACCCGGAGUUGCCUUGAGUCAGAGUCGGCUCAACGGCGACUGGUUGUGGUGGUCGUACAGGCUAAAAUCAGGGCUGGAACUGCACUUGUUUGGGGAAAUCUAUACAUAAACUUUGUAACUUAUAGGGUAAGUGGAUUAGAAGUGAUUGCAACAAAUAAGUUUUUGCCUUUCAAAAGGAUUUAUCUUAUAUAUUUACUGAAGUGAAAAUGUAGGUGAUUUGAAAUACAAUUUGUGUUUAUAUGGAAACAUUUGAGGCAGGAGAAAGAGCAUAAACUUGGAGACAGAGAAGACCCGGCUCCAAACUCUGACAGCACCGUUUAUCAUACGUGUGGCCUGGGUAAAUGCCUUCACAUCUCUGAGUCUCAACUUCUAAAUCUAGAAAAAAGAGAUAAUAAUGCCUCCUUUGUUGAGUUAGUGGAACAUUAGAAAUAAUGGACAAAAUUGUCUAGCACAGUGUGGAUAGACAUUAAGAGCACAGAAAAUAUUCUUAUUUUUAAAGAUACACUGCACACACGCACAUUCGUAAGAAAAGAUCUAUUAUCUAAUGCAAAGCACCCUUGGACUCAGAAUUCCAUUCCCUGUUGUUGAAGGAAGAUCCUACACCUGACCAUAAAGAUUCUGUCACCGGGUCUCAUGGCUUCAGGUCUAAAAUGGAGAAAUUCACAUACUUCCUAGUGUUACUGAGGGGAACAAAUAACCUGAAACUGCCACCAUCAGCCAAUUAAACCAGUAGUUUUCAGCCUUGGCUGAACAUUAUACUCUCCUGGAGAACUUUAAAAAAAACCUCAGUGCUCUGAAGGCACCCCAGAGCAAUGAAAUCAGAGGUUGUGGGGGUUGGACGUAGGCAGUGGUAUUGUUAAAACUCUGUAAAUGAUUUCAAGUGCAACCAAGGUAGAGAACCAUUGCUCUAAAUCAUUGUUUCUUAAGCUGUAAUGUGCACACGAAUCUUAUUAAUAUGCAUAUUAUGAUCCUCUAGAUCUGGGAUGGGGCCUGAGAAUCUGCAUUUCUAACUCCCUCCUAGGUGAUGCCAGUGCUGCUGGACUUUUGAGUUUGUUGUUCUUGUUACUUGCUGUUGAGCCAAUUCCAACUCAUUAUGACCCCACGUGUGCAGAGUAGGGCUGCUCCAUAGGGUUUUCAAUGCUCUAACUUUUUGGAAGUACGUAGAUUGCCGGGUCUGUCAUCCAAGGCAUCUCUGGGUGGGUUCAAAACCCCAAACUUUCAGCUAGAAGUCGAGGGCCACCUGGGACUCUCACUGAUUCUAAGAUGCUUACUUCCUCCUCUUUUCCCUCUACCUCCUCCCCUCAGUUCUGGGAGAAAAAAUAAAAAAACUUUUGUACAACAUGUUAUUUUUCCUAGGAGCUACGGUCUCUCCUGAGGCCACGAUCGUCUUUACUCAGGACAAUAACAUAUUAAGCCUUUCAUGAUAAGCGUUUCAAAUUGCUCCACCCUUUCUAUAGUAAUUUUGACUUAUGAGAAAAGUAUAUACCUGCUUUCAGUACAAGAUGAAUCAUAAUUUAUUAGGAAAAAUAAGUUGUUAAAGUAUUUGACGUAAUGUGGACACCUUCAGAAAGUUUUUAAAGAAGAUAAUUUAUGCAUAACCAAGAAUCAAGAGAAAUGUUUAUUCAAGCUGCGUUUGUCUAGAUAGAAAAAUAUCAAGAAUUGUUGAUGCUCCUGGCAUUUGGAUUUGAAUCCCUAAAGCAGCUUUAAACCAAACCGUCUUGUUCAGGUCAUUUGGCCAGACUUGACUGGUAAGGAUGCCACCGACUGCUUUACAGGUGACCUUGACUUAGGGACUAGGGAGCAAAAACUCCUGAACAAAUCUAAGACUUGCCUAGUGUAUGCUCGGAGGAUAUUCACUUUAGCGGUAUGCUAGGACACCCUUAUACCAACCAUCGUAAACAUGGCACCAAACAGGGCAGCAUUUUGUUCUAUUAUAAAUAGCUGAGUCGGAGCCAACUUGAUGGCAAAUAACAGGGACACUCUGGGGAGGAGACAGCCAAGAUAUUGAAUAUCCAUUUCUUGCACUUGAUCUUUGUCUUUUCUACUUUAAUUAAGCCUGCAUAGAGGAGAGAGCCAGUGACUUUUGAGUUGGGCAUAUCUGGGCUCAAAAUCUCAACCCUUCCCAUUUGCUGCCUUUGAGCCUGGGACAAGAUCAAGAUACUUUCUUUCUGCAUAAAUUUGUUUAUUUGCAUGAGCAUGUGUUUAUUACGACCUCACAUAGCUGAAAGUCCUGAGAAGGUUGGCUCUAAGAGUGGCUGAGCAGCUUGACCAGAUCAUUAAGGGCCUUCUGACUUUAUCACAUUGUCACUACCUUUUUUGAUGAUGAUAAAAGAUGGUUGUGGUUAACUCCAGGUAUCAUACCUUCACAGGAAAAUGUCUUAGUAGAAAGAGAGCAGAAAUAUAUCAUAUGUCUCUCUCUAUCUCAUCAGGGAAGAAACUCCUUCCCAGGAGCCUCCCUAGUAGACUGCCUUAUCAUUGAUCACACAUAGAUCACAUGCUAACCUCUAAGCCAAUCAUCGGCAAAAUACAAUGGGAUUAUCGUGAUGGAUUUAGAGCAAUCAUGGUUCAUCCCUGAGAGCAGAAUUUAUAGUGUCAUUGGAGAAAAUAUAAUCAAAUCAGAUUCUCUCAGCAGGGAAAAACAGGGUGGGGUAUCCGAUCGACAACUAUUAGUCUCUGUCAUGCCACUAAUGAAUGUCCUUCUUCCCUGCUCAAAUCUUUAAAUUAGAUAACUGACAUUGGCCAAUGGGGGGAACAUGUCUUGUUACCCCCAAACUGAUUUAUUUCUUUACAUGAUAAUGCCUUCAGCUUGCAUCAUGGAGAUUUUGUUCCCGGUAACAAGAGUGAUCCCUAUUCUGACAUCAUUAAAGCUUUAAAAAAAACAUUUUGCCUAACCAUUGAAAACCUUAUGAUCUCUGUCUCACUCUUCAAAAUCCAAGGAUAAGAGAAUAAAUUUGUUUAUUUAUAAGAUAGUAUCUACCAAAAAAAAAAAAAAAACCCGUUGCCAUCGAGUUGACUCUAACUCAUAGCCACCUUAUGGGACAGAGUAGAACUGUUCCAUAGAGUUUCCAAGGAGCACCUGGUGGAUGUGAACUGCUGACUUCUUGGUUAGCAGCCAUAGCUCUUAACCACUAUGCCACCAGGGUUUCCUAGAAAGCAUCUAAUUUAACAUCAAAUUAAGUCUCCUUCAGAUUGCAAAGAGGACAAAUUUUGUUCGUCUUCUAUUAAAACGUACUUCCAUUAAGAUUACAUCAAGAAAAUCCUAUAAGGCAGUCACAAACAGGGUCACCAUGAGUUGGAAUCAACUUAAC